AGAGAUGGAGGGUGUGUGUGUGUGUGAGGGGAAGAGAGGGGGGGGGCUGUGACGAAGGAGAAGGAGAGGGGCUGUGUCAUGUCAUUUGGUGCAUACAAUUACUACUAUGGCGAAGAUGAUGAAGUGUGAGUAAUGAUGACGGUAUGCUGUUUUCAAUUGAAGGUACAAACUAAUUUAUGUCUGCAAAUUGUUUUCAUCUCUCCAUUUGAAUGUGCAAAGUGGGCCCUACUAUAACUUAAAGGCUCCGUAACUUAAAAUUUACCUUUUCAGUUUCAGGAGAAACCUGUCUGCUUAUAAUUUUUGUCUGUGUUUGCGUUUGGGGAGGGUUAUUUGGCAUAAGUGGCCUUCGAAGAUUUUUGAGAAAGACUUGAUGUGAGAGAGAGGCUUUUCUCCCUCCUAUUGUGAAACUGAAAUUCUGGCUUGUUAUUUGAGGAUAUUAUAGUAUAAUAGGUAGUUCAGUUCCAUAUGAAAUUUCUUUUUGACACUUGCGUAUGAGAUGCUGAAUGGAGGUAGAAUUAGAAUGGUGGGUAUUUAGUGUUCAUUACUGACCAUCUGAAGUGAAAUUGAUGCCCAGAUGGUACUGUGGUCUGAACUAGAGGAACUUUAUUUGUGUAGGCCUUCCCAGAGGUUCAGCUUCGGUUCUUAACUGAAGAGGAAUAACACAAAGCUUACCUUACCUCACCUCUUUCACAAGCUGUGGGAACUUUUGUAAUUUAUGUUUUUGAGGUGUGGUAUUAUUUUCGUUUUAUUUGAAUUUUUUUAAUGCAUCUUCAUCAUCAUCAUCAUCAAGUGUCUUUUCAAGCGCAGAUAUUGGCGGUUAUGGUUCUCCAUCCCACUCUUUCAUUGUUGAUGCCUGCAUGAAUGAGUUGUUUGUUGUUGUGUUGUUACCUACCCAGGAGUGUAUAAAAGCAUCAAAACAAGAGUGUAAGAAGGUCCCUGAGGAACAUGUGUGGUCAAUGUCCAAUAAUUGAAUGAAUCGUGAUUAAGGCUCCCAGCUGGAGCUGACGGGUACAGUGGAACCUUCUGUUUAUCUUAGCACCAUAAAUAGGUCAGCACAACAGAACGAAAAUGGCUGCCAGCUGAUGGCUUCCCACAACCGAAUUAUGUCAGUGUUUUUCAGAGGUACAGAGGGUGUCUUGUCUUAAAGAAAUUGCUUUUGCUUUCUAAAUCUAUGCGACGCAUUUCAGCAAAAUUUCACAUACAAAAAGACCUAGGACGUCAGCAUUUAAUUUUACAGUGGAACGUUCUAAAUUUCUAAGUCUGCACUAAAGGUGGAUGUGCCAAACUGGUAAUAUCCGGCAUGGCUCUACAAUGGGAAAGCCAGUGGAAACAUGAUGGAAAGGCCAGUAUGGCUCAAAGUGGGUUAAACUCUGUCCAGUUUGAGAAUAGAGGAGAAAACCAAGGUGGACGCCUAACUUGACCAAUGAAAAAAGUACAUGAUGUCUUCAGAAUAAAAUGUUGUCUCUGGUAGGUAUGCAUUAAAAAAUAAAACAUCCUCGACUAGCAAUUAUUACUGGAAGUCAUUGACGUGGGAUUUGUGUGUGUGUGUGUUUGUGUUUGAGUUUUUUUAUUAUGUCAAUUAUGUACAUGUUUGCAUUUUUGGAAGCAUUUUUCCUCGGUUACUAGACUGGUGCCCACCACAGCGUGCUGGUAAAGGAACGCCUAUGUUAUAGUUAUAGGCCUACUGUUUGCAGCGCCUUUACACUACACCACCAUUUGCCAACUGUGUUUUUUUUGUUGCAACUUGUUUUUCCCUGUGUGUGGAAAACUUACGAGACAGACCUAGAGGAGGUAAGACUGGCCAAAUUUUGUCUGCUGUAGACUCUACCAGUCUACCACAUAAUGUAUGCCUGCCUAUGUGUAGAUGGCUUUUGGUGCUGUCCCAUUGUAAUUAUUGUGCCAGCCCCACUGCACAACCAACUUCAUGCUCAUCCCAAAAUAGGUGCAGGUAUUAUUACUACUACUACUACUACAGUGUUUUGACUGUACAUUGGGAAUUGUGAUCACUUUGUGCAGGGGCUGUACGCUUCCAGGGAUAUGUGGAUAAAUCUAGCUGUUUGUUUGUUGGUGAUAUCACAGUCAGAAUAUUUUUGUUUCUUUCAAUUUAUUCUAUUUCUAUCGUGUAUGUAUGCAAAAAUGAUUUGAAACUCAAGAAGUGAAGAAAUAAAUGUUAAGAAGCUCA
rnacentral:lncRNA from 1 species